rnacentral:rRNA from 1 species
GACGAACCAAGCGAACGUUAUUCGGAAUUACUGGGCUUAAAGCGCGUGUGGGCGGAUGACCACGUCGAUUGUUGAAAUCCCCCGGCUCAACCGGGGAACUGGCGUCGAUACGAGUUGUCUGGAGGUGGGUAGGGGAGACUGGAACUUCCGGUGGAGCGGUGAAAUGCGUUGAGAUCGGAAGGAACGCCCGCGGCGAAAGCGAGUCUCUGGACCCAUACUGACGCUGAGACGCGAAAGCCAGGGGAGCAAACGGG